rnacentral:rRNA from 1 species
UAGAGUUUGAUCCUGGCUCAGAACGUACGCUGGCGGCACGCCUAACACAUGCAAGUCGAACGAAGUAGCAAUACUUAGUGGCAGACGGGUGAGUAACAUGUGGGUAUCUGCCCUUUGGCCUGGAAUAACACGAGGAAACUUGUGCUAAUACCGGAUAAGUCUUUACAGAGAAAGCUUUAUGCACCAUUGGAUGAGCCCGCACUUGAUUAGUUUGUUGGUAGGGUAAUGGCCUACCAAGACUGUGAUCAAUAGCUGAUUUGAGAGGAUGAUCAGCCACAUUGGGACUGAGACACGGCCCAAACUCCUACGGGAGGCAGCAGUGGGGAAUCUUGCACAAUGGAGGAAACUCUGAUGCAGCGAUGCCGCGUGAGUGAAGAAGGCCUUUGGGUUGUAAAGCUCUUUCGUCGGGGAAGAAAAUGACUGUACCCGAAUAAGAAGGUCCGGCUAACUUCGUGCCAGCAGCCGCGGUAAUACGAAGGGACCUAGCGUAGUUCGGAAUUACUGGGCUUAAAGAGUUCGUAGGUGGUUGAAAAAGUUGGUGGUGAAAUCCCAGAGCUUAACUCUGGAACUGCCAUCAAAACUUUUCAGCUAGAGUUUGAUAGAGGAAAGCAGAAUUUCUAGUGUAGAGGUGAAAUUCGUAGAUAUUAGAAAGAAUACCAAUUGCGAAGGCAGCUUUCUGGAUCAUUACUGACACUGAGGAACGAAAGCAUGGGUAGCGAAGAGGAUUAGAUACCCUCGUAGUCCAUGCCGUAAACGAUGUGUGUUAGACGUUGGAAAUUUAUUUUCAGUGUCGCAGCGAAAGCGAUAAACACACCGCCUGGGGAGUACGACCGCAAGGUUAAAACUCAAAUGAAUUGACGGGGACCCGCACAAGUAGUGGAGCAUGUGGUUUAAUUCGAAGAUACGCGCAGAACCUUACCAACACUUGACAUGUUCGUCGCGACUCUAAGAGAUUAGAGUUUUCGGUUCGGCCGGACGAAACACAGGUGCUGCAUGGCUGUCGUCAGCUCGUGUCGUGAGAUGUUGGGUUAAGUCCCGCAACGAGCGCAACCCUCACUUUUAGUUGCCAUCAUUAAGUUGGGCACUCUGAAAGAACUGCCAGUGAUAAGCUGGAGGAAGGUGGGGAUGACGUCAAGUCCUCAUGGCCCUUACGUGUUGGGCUACACACGUGCUACAAUGGUAUCUACAACAGGAAGCAAAACAGCGAUGUUAAGCAAAUCCUUAAAAGAUACCUCAGUUCGGAUUGCACUCUGCAAUUCGAGUGCAUGAAGCUGGAAUUACUAGUAAUCGUGGAUCAGCGUGCCACGGUGAAUGCGUUCCCGGGUCUUGUACACACCGCCCGUCACACCAUGGGAGUUGGUUCUACCUUAAGGCAAGGCUUAAAACCCUUGACCACGGUAUAGUCAGCGACUGGGGUGAAGUCGUAACAAGGUAACCA